rnacentral:rRNA from 1 species
GGAAUUACUGGGCGUAAAGCGUGCGUAGGUGGUCGUUUAAGUCCGUUGUGAAAGCCCUGGGCUCAACCUGGGAACUGCAGUGGAUACUGGGCGACUAGAGUGUGGUAGAGGGUAGCGGAAUUCCUGGUGUAGCAGUGAAAUGCGUAGAGAUCAGGAGGAACAUCCAUGGCGAAGGCAGCUACCUGGACCAACACUGACACUGAGGCACGAAAGCGUGGGGAGCAAACAG